rnacentral:rRNA from 1 species
CAGCCGCCGCGGUAAUACGGAGGGUGCAAGCGUUAAUCGGAAUUACUGGGCGUAAAGCGCGCGUAGGUGGUUAUGUAAGCGAGAUGUGAAAGCCCCGGGCUCAACCUGGGAACGGCACUUCGAACUGCAUGGCUAGAGUGUGGUAGAGGGUAGUGGAAUUUCCUGUGUAGCGGUGAAAUGCGUAGAUAUAGGAAGGAACACCAGUGGCGAAGGCGGCUACCUGGACCAACACUGACACUGAGGUGCGAAAGCGUGGGGAGCAAACAGG